rnacentral:rRNA from 1 species
CGAAAGCCUGACAGAGCAAUACCACGUGAAGGACGAAGGCCUAUGGGUUGUAAACUUCUUUUCUCAAGGAGGAAGAAUGACGUUACUUGAGGAAUAAGCAUCGGCUAACCCUGUGCCAGCAGCCGCGGUAAUACAGGGGAUGCAAGUGUUAUCCGGAAUUAUUGGGCGUAAAGCGUCUGCAGGUUGGCAUUUAAGUCUUUUGUUAAAUCUCUAGGCCUAACCUAGAAUCCGCAAAAGAAACUAUAUGUCUUGAGUAUGGUAGAGGUAAAGGGAAUUUCCAGUGGAGCGGUGAAAUGCGUAGAGAUUGGAAAGAACACCAACGGCGAAGGCACUUUACUGG